CUUCCAAAAUGAAAGGUGAUUUACUGUCGGUGAGAAGUAUGCGACAACAUUCUUGAGCGCAUAACAAAAAUACGUGAUCUGCAAUGGGAUGAUUAAUAGAGGCAACGCCAGUUAAAAAUUGAUUAACGAGUUCAUGUAAUUCAUGAUCAGCUGGAACCUCCUGCAUACUGGUAUAAGGCAUUUGGGCAGCCAGCUGAAAUAACUGCCCAAUAAUUAUGAGCAAAUUUCUAGCGUAGUUCAAUGCUGUCUGAUUAGCUUCAUUCUCGACUGUAUUAUUAAGAUUGGAGUUCAAAGCGUCCGUACUGUCGGCACUGUCGGUACGUAAUCCAUUAAGACUGGUAAAAGAAUUGUUACUCAU